CAAAAGCAAUGGAAAAGAAAACUGGUUUAAAAGGAGAUGUAGAAGAAGUGCAUGGCAACCUCUUCUCUUAGCUCUCUCUCAGUCGCAAACCUUCCUCUUUCCUUUUCUUUGCCCUUCAGGCUCAGCCUCCGUGGAGGGGUUUCAUUUGCUAACGCAGGUUUACACUUUAAUAAAUUUCCUGCCUUUUACCUGCUGCCGGGCACAAGAAGAAAGCAUCUUUAUUCAAACUGCAGCCAGAGGGUAGAAACAAGGAGACAGGACGGUAUCUUUCAGGUCUGGGGAGUUUGAUCCCCCUGGAGCUAUCAACCGACAUGGAUACUGAGACCCUAACUGGGAUCCCUGCAGAAGCUCUAUCUCUCCAGCUCCAGGAUCAAUCAGUUCUUAAUGGGUCUGCCUCUUCAACUGAGUUCAACUUGGUUGCAUUUUCUGUGUUGAAGGAUUAGCUGAGUUGUAGGAGAUUUAGAAGUGUCUUGCUUCUUGUGUGUGUCUGUGCGUGCAUGCGUGUGUGUGUGUGCAUACAAAGUAACUCUCACACCACAGAGAAUUACUAAGCUAAAAAUCUCCCUGCAAUGGAAAGAGGGUAUGGUUUUCUUCUAGUUAGAUUUCAAAGAAAUUGUUCUGUCGUCUGGUCCCCAAGCUUAGGUGCCCCAUCUCUAUGUUGCAGAACAGAUCUGCCUGGAUCCAUUUCUCACUCAAGCGCUGCAAUGGCAGAGUGCCAAGUGCUCUCUUGGUAGUUGCAGGCACUCUGCGGCUUUGGGUCUUCUCUAUCGUUUACCUCUGAUACACUUUUGAAGUGCUCUUGUUCUGGCUCUACUCACUUUCCAAUUCUCCAGAAUUUCUUUCAGGAUAUGGACUAUCAGGAAAUGUCAGAUUAGAGAAUAAAACUCUGGGAAUAAAAAAAAAAAUAUAAAGUCUAAACUGUGCAGGACCAAAAAUGUGAAUGUUUGCCUCCAAUACCUUCUUUACCGGAAGUGGAUGUUGUGAGUACUGAAACACAGAUGAAUAUUCCAAGUAUUCUCUUAUGUUUUGAUUGGGGAAGAGUUAGACUGUAGCCAUGAACCACCAGACUCAGCAAAUCUGAAUUGAACUUAGAUAGAUUUAAUGUUAAGUAGGCUUAUGGGGUCUAGGGUGGUCUUCAAAUACAAGUGUAGACAGACUAAGAAACAUGGUAUUAAAGGAUAUGAUGUACUCCAUCACAUCAACUUCUAGAAAGAACUUUAAGUCAAUUCUAAACCAAGAUAAUCUAUCUGAGGUCAUGAAAGAGAAGACUAGAUUGAGCGUGAGAGAAAACAGGUAGGUGGGUAUGAGGCUAGGAAGGGAGGGGAGGGGGGACUAGGAAACAGUCAAUGUGUGUGAUGUGCCCAUAACUGUCAGGCUGAGGUGGUUGCUAUGAACUCUGUCCCUGAUAUCAAGGAACUGAGUAAGGCUCACCUUCUCUAACUUUACCAAGCAAGAAGGACUAUUUCCCCAGACCGUUUCCAAUUACCCCAAUCAAUCCUAGGCUCGGCAGUAAUGAUGUAUUUUGGGAUCUGACCUAUCAUAUGAUGCAAUGAUAAGUGUCCCUUAUACUUCCCUUUUCUUUUGUAUUAUUUAUGCGAUGAGAAAAAAAGGUUGAUUUCAAUUUGCUCAGUUUUAAUAACCCUAGAAGUCGAUUUAGCACACACAUCAUUUAAGAUCACCUAUUAAAAUAAGACACUAUGUAAUUAUGCAGAAUCAGUUAAUCAUAUACUCUCUAUUCUGAUUACCACUAUUACUUUAUAGGGCUAGUAUUCUUAUAAUGCUUGCGGAAUUUUUAAAGGUGAAUUAAGACUGGGCUCAUACCUCAGCAGGUAACAGCAGUUGCUGCACAAGUAUCAGAACCGGAGUUCAAAUCCCCAGAAUCUAUGUAAAAAGUCAGGUGUGGUUACAUAUGUGUCGGGGUGGGAAAACAUCUCUGGAUCUUGCUAACUGCCAGUCUUGAUCCAAGUCCAGUGAGAGACCUAUCUAUCUCAAGGGAAUAAGACAGAGGGUAAGGAAGAUGAACUCCCCAGUGUCCUCCUGUGUUCUCUGCAGACACAUCUGCACAUAUAUCUGUAGUUACACCACAUUCCAUAUGCUACGUGCACAUUUCUUAACUGCAUAACGUUCUCAGACAGUCUAAUGGUGUCAUCAUACAAUCUAUUAAAUAGUUUGUGACUACUUAACUUUAUAAAAAAUAUAUUUGGUAGUAUCCCAGGUUCAUAAGCAUUUAGACCCAAUCACCAUCAACAAAUACAGUGGAGCUUCUAGGUUUAGUAAAAGUUUAGUCUGAGCGAUCCCAUUAAGCUCUCACUUCUCCUUUCCAAAGAUCUGCACCUGUCGGGUGAUUUAGAAUCUUUUCAAAAAAAUAAUACAUUCUAUAAAAAACUUGAUUGUUAAAAAUUACAACCACUGAUGUUUUGGAAAAUCACAACCAAUGAAAUGUGUUGGAGAAAACCCUGAGGUUUCAGAAAAGAGGGAGAUUAGAACCAGUGCUGUAAUUCCAAUACAAGAUUCAUAUAUGAAAGGCAUCAGAUAUCCUUCCUCAUGAAUGAGGUAAAAAGUUCACUGUAAGUAGCAGAGGAAAGAUCUUCGCAAGUUGUAUAAAAAGAUGUCCAUUUGCUUAGAGGAGAUGGCGAAGUUCUACUUGGAGUAAUGUUUUUAUAAUCCUUCCUCAUUUUCAGAGACCAGUAUAAAAAUGUUCCUGAUCAUCUGAGGAACGUUAACUUCAGGCUGUCUUCCAUUCAGAAACAUGACCUCUAUGCCCCGUGAGAUCUUUAUGGCCAUGUGAGCGUAUGAAACACUGGAGCCCCUUCCCUGUUCCCACCCCUCACAUGGAGCUAAAUGCACUAGCUGGCUGAAUUCCCUCUUUCUGUCAAUGGAGCUACCAUUCCUGUAGCCAUCCACAUUUGAAAUUUUGGAGUUAGUUUUCAUCUGGUUGGCUUCCUACCCUUUACCUCAAUCAUUUACAAAUCUCUUCAACUCUCUUAUGUCUCUUUCCCAUGCCAGUCCAUCUUCUCUGCCAUGUUGCAGGAUCCUAAUUCAAACAUUUGUUAUCUGUGACACUCAGUGCAGUAUCCUAUUUCUGUCAAUUCUAUUUAUAUCAUUAAAAUAUAACAUAGAAAAUCUAUUUUUAUAUCUAUCAAAUGAACCUCAUGACCUCCACCUUGGCAUUCAUCUUCGGUAUCCUUUCAUUUGUCUUUAUCUCGGUGGCACAAGCUGGUGACAUGCUCAGCAUCUGAGGAGUCAGGAGAACGCAUUUUGGUUUGACUUCCUAUUGUACCCUCCCUAGAAAAUUCACUUUGUACUUUAGCAAAUAAGUAACUUGAUCUCUUGGUUUAAAAAUCUGAUUCAUCCAUGACCAGAUGAAGGCUCUAUGGUAAUAUGCAAGAUAUUCAUCAGUGUGACUAUAGGACAAGACCAGUUCAGGCACCCUCUCCUCUGCUGCUCAAGGAACAAUCUGGGGACAUCUCCUUGGACAGCUGGG